CUCUCUCUCUGCUGGCUGGCUGGCUGUCUAGGCCUAUGUGUCACCACCUGGCACUUGCUCUCAUUGUCUUGUGCGAGUGCUUUUGCCAGCAGUUUGGAGUGCAGACCCAUCACCCCUCACUGGGGCCCCCCAUGAGGCCUGCCUGACUGCAUGCCCCACCCGGGCCCAUGGCAGCGCACCUGGAAGCGGACGGCUGAGGACUUGUUGCAGUGCAUGGAGAUGGGCGCGAAGCUGUACAGGGCCUUCAGUACGUCGCGGUUGAAGGAGUUCCAGGGAACAGAGGAUCCCGAAGCCCCCCUGCAAGUUGGAGGAGACCCGUCAGCCCCGGGCCAUGCCACGCAGACGCUGCCAUCCAGCAGCUUUCGCCGCACCCACGUGUACACUGCGUCCACUCGUCUGUUCACUGCACCGUGCCAGGCAUGCUCUGGGGAACCGAGUCCCUGCCCUCAAGGAAUUGCCACCAUUGGCAGGAGAGACAGGCAGUGAGUGAGUGAGUCAACCAGGAAAUUCGUAUCAGGUACUGAUGAUGCUGUGAGGAAAAAUGAAACGGGACAAGCGGAUGGGGUGUUAUUGUGCCCAUUUUAUGGGUACAGAAACUGAGUCUCAGAGCAGGCAAGGGGAUGCCCCGUGGUGGCCACAGCAUCGGUGGCACAGCCUGAGUGCACCCAGCGUCCCGGCCAUUGUCUGGAAGCUGUCCCCAUGACCUCCAGCGAGAGCCUGGAGCCAAGGACUGCAAGGGAGGCCCUUUCCACUGCAGCCCCGCACCGUCCACCAGUCAUUUCUCCAACGUGGCUCUGAGGGGAGCAGGGACUCUAUAAGACAGGACCGUGACUAGAGGCCGCGACAACCUCCAGCCUCUCACGGCAACCCUACGGCCUGCCAUCGCAUGGGAGGGGCAGGGCAGGCACCCUCUGAGUCCCCACUGCCAGCUUUAAGCCCCUCGCUGGGUUGCUGCUCUUGGAGCUGGUGACCGUGGAGCCUCAGCCAUAGGAGGAAGAACAGCAGCAGCUUGGAGGAGCUGGGGCUGGAGAGAGCAAAGCUCCCCCGGCAGCAGCUCAGAUCCCAGCAGGUCAGGGGCCGGGACAUGACGCCCUGGCCACCCUUGCCCCUCCAGGCUCCCCGCUGUUUGUGAAGCUGCUGUGGGCCUGGGGAUUUCAUCUGGCUGGUGGGGAAGAAAGGCAAUCUUUACUCUAUGGCAGAACAAAGGGACUGGGCAAAGCUUGGCGUGGCACUUACACCAGCUGCCGCCCCCUCCUCCCGUGCAGACAAAGAGCAUGGGACAGUUCUGCCCAGAGACGAAACCUGGCACCUGUUGGCCAGGACGCGUUUUUGCCAGCAUUGUUCUCUGGGCCGGAUUCCUCCUUUCCCAGCUUUUCUCAUCCAUCCCGCCCCCGUCAGAUCGGGACGAUUGCCCUCCUGUGUGAGUUCCUGUCCCUCCCCACCCUCUGCCACCACAGACAUCAAAAGGGAACUGAGUCCGACCCUGUGUAGAAUCUGUUCUCCUCUUUCACCUGGGGAAGGAAAUCGAAUUUCAAAGGCCACUGUGUCUUGGAUCAGCAGGCGAGGGCUUGUCAGAGUGUGAGAAGCUCAGGUCCACCUGGGGAGCUGCCCUCCCCUUUGAUCCCACCUGGUGCUGUGAUGUGGCCACUGCCAAGAGGACGACAUGGGCCAGGGAAGCCACAGAACUGCCCACGGGGACGCUGGCACCGAGGGCCUCAACCUGCAGAACGGCCAUCUGAGAUGUCCGCGGUGCUCACCAGGCCUGGCAGCCCCGAACGCCCUGGGACGUGGCGUCAGUUCCGCCGCCGUGAAGCCAGAUUGGGCAGGGAAUAUGCAGUCUCCUCGCUGGAUGCCCGGCAAGACCCUCCCAUCCCUGGCCCCGGGGCCGCGCCUGCAGAAUGGGGCUGAUGGUGGGGACUUGCCUGGGGUGCUCCACCUGCAGAGCCCUCUGUUUGCGAGCCCACUCAGUCACUGCACAGGUGCUUAGCCGAGAGGCGGCACAGUCGGGGUUGGCACCUGCACCCAUACCAGCCCUGCCUCCUGUUCGCUGUGUGGCCUGAGUGGCUGGACCUCACUGUAUCUCCUGGUGGGAUUGCUCAGAGGUCUCAGCAAGGCUUGGUGUGGUUAGGAUGAGUUAUUAGAGCAGUGCUGAGCUGUGGCAAGCACCCGACAUCAGCCACUGCUGUGAUAUACUGAGCACCUCCUCUAGAGAGAAUAAAGGACUGACAAAGCU
rnacentral:lncRNA from 10 species